rnacentral:misc_RNA from 1 species
GAUGAAGAACGUAGCGAAAUGCGAUAAGUAAUGUGAAUUGCAGAAUUCAGUGAAUCAUCGAAUCUUUGAACGCACAUUGCGCCCGCCAGUAUUCUGGCGGGCAUGCCUGUUCGAGCGUCAUUUCAACCAUCAAGCCCCGGGCUUGUGUUGGGGACCUGCGGCUGCCGCAGGCCCUGAAAUGCAGUGGCGGGCUCGCUGUCACUCCGAGCGUAGUAGUUACAUCUCGCUCUGGGCGUGCUGCGGGUUCCGGCCGUUAAAAGCCUUAUUUACCCAAGGUUGACCUCGGAUCAGGUAGGAAGACCCGCUGAACUUAAGCAUAUCAAUAACGGAGGA